UUACCUCAGUAACGGCGAGUGAAGCGGUAACAGCUCAAAUUUGAAAUCUGGCUCUUUCAGGGUCCGAGUUGUAAUUUGUAGAAGAUGCUUCGGGUGUGGCUCCGGUCUAAGUUCCUUGGAACAGGACGUCAUAGAGGGUGAGAAUCCCGUAUGUGACUGGUUGCCUUCGCCCAUGUGAAGCUCUUUCGACGAGUCGAGUUGUUUGGGAAUGCAGCUCUAAAUGGGAGGUAAAUUUCUUCUAAAGCUAAAUAUUGGCCAGAGACCGAUAGCGCACAAGUAGAGUGAUCGAAAGAUGAAAAGCACUUUGGAAAGAGAGUUAAACAGUACGUGAAAUUGUUGAAAGGGAAGCGCUUGCAACCAGACUUGCCUGCCGUCGAUCAUCCUCCGUUUUCGGUGGUGCACUCGGCGGUGGUCAGGCCAGCAUCGGUUUCGGUGGUGGGAUAAAGACCUUAGGAAUGUGGCUCCUCUCGGGGAGUGUUAUAGCCUUCGGUGCAAUGCCGCCUACUGGGACCGAGGACCGCGCUUCGGCUAGGAUGCUGGCGUAAUGGUUGUAAGCGACCCGUCUUGAAACACGGACCAAGGAGUCUAACAUCUAUGCGAGUGUUUGGGUGUUAAACCCAUACGCGUAAUGAAAGUGAACGGAGGUGAGAACCCUUUAGGGUGCAUCAUCGACCGAUCCUGAUGUCUUCGGAUGGAUUUGAGUAAGAGCAUAGCUGUUGGGACCCGAAAGAUGGUGAACUAUGCCUAAAUAGGGUGAAGCCAGAGGAAACUCUGGUGGAGGCUCGCAGCGGUUCUGACGUGCAAAUCGAUCGUCAAAUUUGGGUAUAGGGGCGAAAGACUAAU
rnacentral:rRNA from 1 species